rnacentral:lncRNA from 1 species
UGCAACAAGAAAUACAACCUAUCAGAGGUUGAUGGAUAAUGCGUUAAGUGAGGUGCUUAACUCAUUUGGCAAACUUUUCCAAUAUUUACUAGUGACCAAUAUCUUUAAGGAGAAUUAGGAGAGAACGACACAAAAACUAGCUGCGUAACAGAACACGUAACCCAGCAGGGAGGAUACAUGGACAACAUGAUAAAACAAUAACAAACCAUUAUCGAUUAAAAGGGUUGCAACAUUGGGAAUUUUGGGUGGGUAACAAACCUAGCACGGUCAAUAUGGCCCGAAUCGACUAGGCGAACCUAAAAUAUGCAUUUGUGGCCACGAAGUCCGUCUAAGAGUGAACCCUCUUGUUCGUGUGUCAAGCAGGCAUAUUCAGCAGCUCGCAUACGGAAGAGAAGGCAUGUUGCCGUAUCAGUUAAUAGGAUAGUUGUUGUUGUUGUUGCAUCAGCACAAGUAGCCAAAACUGAGUAGCUGCACAACAAGUGUGUACAAAAGUGUUAGUGGAAACAUGGAAUGGAAGACACACCGCCAAAUUGCCAAUGGUGAACAGAAAGCAAUUGGAACUACAUGCAUACCUAAAUUGACCAUCAAUGUAAACCUUGUUCUGUGUACUCAGAUCGAAAGAAAGGAUCUGUACCAAACACCAUACUCGCUAGAACAUAUUUGACACAAAGGUUGUAAUCAAUAUCCAAUACAUAUUGUUGCAGUGCCAAUAAAGGUAAACAUGUUGAUGAACAUUUCGGUCUAGAGGCAUAAGAGGGCAGCCAAGUAAAUUUUUUUCUGAAGAUCACCGCGAAGGAAUGCAAACUGAUGAGGUUGUGUUGGAUGGAGAUUACACACAGGAACAUGAAUGUGUGAAAACCUAAAAGGGAAAGUAAAUGUAAAGGUAUGGUGAUCAACAAUUAGAUGUAACAAAAAGGUCAGGAUAACAUACAAGUCGAAGCAUUCUUGAAAUUGAGACGCAAACGGUGCGAAACAAUAUGCGGCGUUGGAGUAUUGCUAAAGAGGAGGGCCUCCGCUGCAAGCAAAACGGGCGACAUCAAAGGCAACAAAUGAUUGGAACUUCGAGUAGCGAACCAUAAUCUGUUCAUUACUGGAAGAGAGUAAGAAAACAUGGACCCGAGCAAUGUUAAUCACAUAAUGGGCAACGUGCAAUAUCUUAUGUAUAAACACCAAACGUUAAAAACCCAGGGUGGCCAAGAAGAAUCUUGAAGGACCCCCCCCCCCCCCCCCCAAGAUGUUGAGUUAACUGGACGGGUCACGGACGAAAGGCGUGCAAUGAUGUCUUAAACAUAAGUGAAUAAAAUGGGGGAUGAGAAACUGUUAGGGGACAUAGUUGUACAUGUACAUGAAUCGGUAAGAAAGUCGUAAUUGUAAUAAAUUACCGUAAGAGUACGUUCGAGUACUGGUGGUACCAUGCACAGAUGCCAUAGUCGCAAUAUUGAAGGCAUCUACGGGGAAAACCCGUCGACCACGGAGUUCCCUGAUUUUGGACAACAGUUGGGCAGGAUGCGUCUCGAUGGAAAUAUCUUUGGGGCAUAAGCAAAGUGUUGUACGAGCUAGGAUGGCAGUUGAAUGGUAAAUUUUUUAAACAACGCCGGGUUUAAGGAGAGCUUCUACUUCAUCUGCAUGAAAUGGCUCUGUAUAUCCUUCAAUUCGAUAUUCCUGGGUUGCAAUGAGUAAUAAAUGUGGGUUAGUAAAGUUGCAGGUUAGGUAUUGUGUGGUUAAGGGAGAGUAUGUAACGCUAUAUCAAGCCACAACGUGUAUAGCGGUAAGCCCUCCACAACACCGUUGUCGAGAGGUUCACGCCAUGAAUGGAUAAAGCGCAAGAGGAUACUGGACUCAUUUACGCGAAAGUCCAGAUGAUUAAUGUUUGCAUCAACGUGGUCUAGUUCCACAAAGGAGCCCCAGAUAAAAAUAAGCAUGGCAUGGAGGUAGCAUGAGUGGUUGUCACAUGAGAGGGUCAAGUAGGCAACCUAGAGGAGUAGAAUCUGGGUAGUAGUUGUAACUCAUAGUGUCUGGGACCUGGAGGAAAAAAUGAUAAGAAAGCGUGUGUAUGAGCAGGGAAAUAAAAAUAAAAGCAGGCCAACAACAGACAUAACCAUUGAGAUACAUGUGUUGGAUCUGGAAGCUAUUGAUACACCAUCGAUGCUAUUACAUAGUUAAGUAGAAAGGAUUUUAAGGACGGUAUAAUACAUGUGAUCAAAUGGAAAAGCGCGUGCCUAUUAGUGGAUAAGAGCAGAGGAUACUAAGUCUAAAGAUCUAAGCAUAUGACCAUGAAAGAAAACUAAUAAAGAUUGGUGGAUACUCUAGAAAUGUAGGAAAGGUGACUCUGCAGUCUGAGAAAAACACACAUAUAACUCAUGCAAGGUCCAAAUGAAGAGCCAUAGAACAUCAAGGCGAGGAUCGGAAAGAGAGGGUAGGAAUGGAAUGCCUGAGGCAGGAGUGCCUUACCUAAGUGAAGAACAGAUGUAGCAGUCUGAUCGGCAGGAGGAUGAGGAUGCUAGUGGUGAAACUGUUCACAACUUCAGCAGAGAACAAUGGGUAGCCAAACCAAUUCCAAGAACAGAUAAUAAUGGGCCAGGGUUAGU